rnacentral:rRNA from 1 species
AACCUUCGCAAUGCGCGAAAGCGUGACGAGGUUAAUCCGAGUGACUCCCGCUGAGGGGGUCUUUUGUCAGCUGUAAUUAGGCAGGCGAAUAAGGGGAGGGCAAGCCUGGUGUCGGCCGCCGCGGUAAUACCAGCUCCUCGAGUGGUCGGGGCGAUUAUUGGGCCUAAAGCAUCCGUAGCCGGUUCCGUAGGUCCUCUGUUAAAUCCAACCGCCCAACGGUUGACCUGCAGAGGAUACCGCGGGACUAGGAGGCGGGAGAGGCGGACGGUACUCCGCGUGUAGGGGUAAAAUCCUUUGAUCCGCGGAAGACCACCAGUGGCGAAGGCGGUCCGCC